rnacentral:rRNA from 1 species
AUUGAACGCUGGCGGCACGCCUAACACAUGCAAGUCGAGCGGUAACAUGAUUAGUAGCAAUACUAAUUGAUGACGAGCGGCGGACGGGUGAGGAACACGUAGGAACCUGCCCAAGAGAGGGGGAUAACUAAGGGAAACUUUAGCUAAUACAGCAUAUUCUCGAGAGAGGAAAGCUGCCUGCAAGGGUGGCGCUAUUGGAGAGGCCUGCGGUCGAUUCGCAAGUUGGUGAGGUAAUAGCGUACCAAGGCGAGGAACGGUAACUGGUCUGAGAGGACGCCCGUUCACACUGGGACUGAGACACGGCCCAGACGCCUACGGGAGGCAGCAGUGGGGAAGCUUGGACAAUGGUGGCAACCCUGAUCCAGCGAUGCCGCGUGAGUGAAGAAGGCCUUCGGGUCGUAAAGCCCUUUAGGUUGGGAAGAAGGUUGGUAGUUUAAGAGAUAAUCAACUUGACUGUACCAGCAGAAUAAGCACCGGCAAACUCUGUGCCAGCAGCCGCCGUAA